rnacentral:ncRNA from 1 species
AAAUUGAAGAGUUUGAUCAUGGCUCAGAUUGAACGCUGGCGGCAGGCCUAACACAUGCAAGUCGAGCGGUAACAGGAAGAAGCUUGCUUCUUUGCUGACGAGCGGCGGACGGGUGAGUAAUGUCUGGGAAACUGCCUGAUGGAGGGGGAUAACUACUGGAAACGGUAGCUAAUACCGCAUAACGUCGCAAGACCAAAGAGGGGGACCUUCGGGCCUCUUGCCAUCGGAUGUGCCCAGAUGGGAUUA